AAACCAUGCAUCAGGCAUUUUCUACUCAAUUCCUUGAAUCGCUCCCAAGCUUCAUACAAUGUCUCAAAUUCAGUUUGCCGAAAUGAUGUAAUAUCGUUCCUCAGUUU
rfam:Gossypium raimondii chromosome 8, whole genome shotgun sequence.